rnacentral:lncRNA from 1 species
AUGAUAGCAUCUAUCACAAAAACUUAAAAUUUCAUCACGAUAUGAUAUUUUUUCCAUUACCAGUGAUUAAUUUAUGAUGAUGCAAAUAAACUUAUCAUCAAAGAGAUUAGAUUUUUGUAUUCAUAUUUUGUUCCCUUUUGUUUUUUUAAUGUAGGACGAAUCACAAGAUUUCUUCGGGAAUCAGUGGCUGUGAGAGCUUGCAAUGCUUAAUGGCAUCC